CCCCAGGCUGCAGGAGAAGCGAAGUGUUGGGGAGGUGUUGAGGACCGGGGGAGUGAAGGACCGCCAUAUGAAGCCAGCCUGCAGGAGUUCAGCACCAGUGGAUGUUACAGAGUUGCAGAAUGAAGCAGGGCGGAGAGAGAGUGCUCAGCUGGCGUGGGCUUGGCUGGACCUUGGGAAGCAGUGACAGUCUCACACGUGGUCACCCGUCCGGCUACCAGAACAGGAGAAAGAGAUUCUUCCCUGGAGGAGGUGGGUAGGAAGAGACCACUGCCCAAUUCAAACAGCCUGAUCUCCUACCAAGAUAAUGACGUGCAGAAGGUUUGCAAAGAGCCCAGUUCAUCUUUCCGACGGUGCUUGGUUCAUGCCGGAGGCUCCGUGAGAGAAGAUGGCCACCUUGGGGUGUGCUCAGAUUUGGGGAGCCUCUCAGAGGCAGCAGUGGCUAGGGCCCAUGAGGCGUGUCGUAUGUAGAUAAAUUCUGCCGUGUGUGUGCUCACUAAAUCCACCAUGCUAGAAAUGCAUUUGGAGGCAAUCCUGCCUGCCCACAGCAGAUUUUCCAGAUCCUGGCAAUUGGAGCAUGUUAAGGACGAGAUACAGCUGCCAGGUCUGAUUUCUUAAAUCAAGAUUCGUUUCGUGGGGAGGGCAGGAGGAAAAAAAUUAAUGCACAACCUAGCAAGGUGAGGGAGGGAGGGAGGGAGAGAUGCCUGCCGCCUUGGCCUCUCUGUAUGCUUUGGGUGGGAGCCAAUUUCUUUCCAGCAAGUGGCUUCCAGCUCAGGAAAGAGGGAGGUGCUUCCCAUGGGCAGCCUGACUCCAAACUCCAAACUGUGGGGUCUGAGAGUGAGUGAGGUAAGGUGCUGAUGGAAGGAGCAGAAGUUGUUGGUUUAUGUUUUG
rnacentral:lncRNA from 1 species